CUCAUCAACUCCUCUUUACAGGCAUCUUUAUCCGGAAUUCAACUCGUCCCAAACUCCACGAGUUGGUGUUGCUCUGCUUGUGUUUUUGAAUCCAGGGGCCUCUUUGAAUCAGAAGCCCUUUGUAUAGAGAUAAGUAUCCUUUAGGCCAGAAUCAGCUUCCAUUGUUUUCGCAGUCCCAUUUCCUACCCGUAAUUCUGAUUUUAAAGCCAUUUGGUAGAGAAGGGGCAGGGAACAGAACUUUCGCCCCCCCGCCUGAGCGCCUGGUAGACUAGAUAUCUUCCAAACAUUAUCUCAUUUACUUCCCUGGAGUUACAAAUAGGUAGAUUUCAUGUCCGUUGAGGGAUGAGAAAGCUGAAACUUUGAGACUUAAGAAUCCUGGCCGAGGUCAGCCUCCUCCGAAGCUUCAUCUCUUGCCACCACUUUCUGGUGCACACCUACGACAGAUUUCAAUCCCUGAGAUCCCAGGAUGAAACCUAUGUUUGCCAAAUACCAGCUACUGUGCCAGAAGAGAUCAUGGAACCAGGUGUGGCAACCUGCUUGAGAAGAGGAGCCAAAACAUCAUAGUUGAACCGUCCUGGAAUAGAAGAAGUGUAAAGAACACAGAAAAGCAAGAAUUAAAUUCUGGGGUGGCUCAGAAAUUUGAAGAAAAAGAAAAAGAGAGCAAGUAAAAUCACAAACAAGUACAAAGAAUACUAAAAUGAACUCAGCAAACAAGGAAGAAGAAAGUUUUAAGGAAAAAGCUGAACAAACAUGCAAGCUGAACCUCAAAAAGUUAGCCUGGUGAGGCUGGAGGAUGAUGAGAUUUCCCCUCUUGUCACAUAAACAAGGAAGUAAAGGAGGCCCCUUGUGCUCUCAGAACUCCAAGCAUGAAACAAUUUUCUGCCAUUUCAGUUCCUGUUAUCAUGCUUCCAGGUGCACUGAACUGCAGCAAACCCAGGGGAUCCAAGGCUAUGUUGAAAAGCCUUUGACCGCAGUGCAGGGAGCAGAAGACAUUAAUGACGUGAUGUUGACGCAGCCCGCACUCAGGAUCCUCCAGAAAAAGAACACAGAGAUAACCCCAGAUCGAUGGUACUUUUUGAAAAUGCCUUACUGCAAAAGAGUGGCUAGGGUUUUACAAGGGCUGUGAAGAAACAUAUUAAGGUUAAUAAAGCUUUUU
rnacentral:lncRNA from 1 species